UUAACAUGAUGGACUAUAGGACAGGACUGCUGCUGUUAACUCUCUGCUGGGCAGGUGUUGAUGGUCAGACUCUGACACAAUCUGAACCAGUGGUUAAAAGGCCUGGAGAAUCUCACAGAUUGACCUGUACAGCCUCUGAGUUACACUUUACUGGCUACAGCAUGCACUGGGUCAGACAGGCUCCUGGAAAAGGAGCGGAGUGGAUUGCUUUUAUCAAUAGUGGCGGUAGCAGCAUCUACUACUCUCAGUCAGUUCAAGGCCGGUUUGCCAUCUCCAGAGACAACAGCAGACAGCAGCUGUAUCUGCAGAUGAACAGUCUGAAGACUGAAGAUUCUGCUGUUUAUUAUUGUGCUCGAGAGCCACAAUGGCAUCACUGUGAUGCUUUCGACUACUGGGGUCGUGGGACUGAAGUCACAGUAUCUUCAGGAACAGCUGCAUCACCGACUCUGUUCCCUUUGGUUCAGUGCAACUCUGGGCCUGCAGAUAAAAUCACUGUUGGUUGUCUUGCACAUGACUUCUACCCAAAGAGUCUUACUUUCCAGUGGACCGAUGCCAGUGGGACCGCCCUGACUUCUGUGAAUUAUCCUCCAGCUGAGAAAAACAACAAAUAUACAGGAGUCAGUUUGGUCCAAGUGUCCAAAUCUGACUGGGAUUCAUUUAAGUCUAUAAAUUGUUCUGUGACUCACCCUGGAGGCCCCAACACUGUGAAAGUGGAAAAGGCCUCAUUUCCUCCAAAAGUGACUUUGCUAUCUGUGCCAAGUGAAGACACUCAGGCCCUGGUGUGUACAAGUGAGGGUUUUCUUCCAAAAGAAUUGACAGUCAAAUGGAAAAAGAAUGCAAACUCUGUAACUGGCUUCACUAACUGGGCGCCCCAAAUAAUCGGAGACGUAUAUUCAGCUGUCAGUGUCCUGAAGGUCAAGAACACAGACUGGGACAGUAAAGCUGUUUACACAUGUGAGGUGACGCACCGAGAAACAACAUAUACAAAGAAGGCCUCAAAAGCUCCUAUCACAGUGACACUGAACCAACCAAGUCCCAAAGAAAUUUUCAGCAACAAGCAGGCAGAGUUGGAGUGUAUCAUUACUGGACAGGACGAGACCAUUGUAAAUGAAAUUAAAGUCACUUGGCAAAUUGAUGGACAAGAUGUGACCGACAACAUUACUGAAACAACAGAGUCUGUUGAUGGUCAGCGCAUCAAAACCAGCACGAUGACUCGUAGUCGCACUGAGUGGCAGAGAGUCAACAAAGUGUGCUGUUCUGCCAUUAGAGACGAUAUGACUCCAGUUAUUCAAGAUCUGACUGUCCACAAAGGAGAUGGGCGUGAGCCAAACGUGACAGUCCACGUCCUCCCAGAGGAGGACAUCAACAAAGGAGCUGAGGUCACUCUGGUGUGUCUGGUCUCCAGUCCUGUGCUGCAGGAUUACUACAUCGCCUGGUCAGAAGAUGAAACCAACAUCUAUACUGAUGGCAUUAACUUCCCCCCGCAGAAGACCCAACAUGGCUACUCAGUUACAAGUGUUUACACCACCACCAAGGAAAAGUGGGACAAGUACAACAUGUUCAACUGCCACGUCUGGCCUGCUGGCAGCAAUGACUCUAUGGAACCCCGAGGAGUGUCUAAGUCCCAUGCUCUCUUUUAUGUAGCUCCUAUCACAGUGACACUGAACCAACCAAGUCCCAAAGGAAUUUUCAGCAACAAGCAGGCAGAGUUGGAGUGUAUCAUUACUGGACAGGACGAGACCGUUGUAAAUGAAAUUAAAGUCACUUGGAAAAUUGAUGGACAAGAUGUGACCGACAACAUUACUGAAACAACAAAGUCUGUUGAUGGUCAGCGCAUCAAAACCAGCACGAUGACUCGUAGUCGCACUGAGUGGCAGAGAGUCAACAAAGUGCGCUGUUCUGCCAUUAGAGACGAUAUGACUCCAGUUAUUCAAGAUCUGACUGUCCACAAAGGAGAUGGGAGUGAGCCAAUAGUGACAGUCCACGUCCUCCCAGAGGAGGACAUCAACAAAGGAGCUGAGGUCACUCUGGUGUAUCUGGUCUCCAGUCCUGUGCUGCAGGAUUACUACAUCGCCUGGUCAGAAGAUGAAACCAACAUCUAUACUGAUGGCAUUAACUUCCCCCCACAGAAGACCCAACAUGGCUACUCAGUUACAAGUGUUUACACCACCACCAAGGAAAAGUGGAACGGGCACAUGUUCAACUGCAACGUCUGGCCUGCUGGCAGCAAUGACUCCAUGAAAACCCGAGGAGUGUCUAAGUCCCAUGAUUUUCCUCCAGAGUCAAAACUGGGUUUUGCUCUGAGCUGCACAGAGGAUGCUAUUGAAGAGGAUGAGUUCAGCAGUCUGUGGUCCACAACCUCCUCCUUCAUAUUCCUCUUCAUAUCCUCUCUCUUCUAUAGCAUGAUAUUCAGCCUGGUCAAGAUGAAGAGACGAUAAAGGAUGAGAUGGAUGCACAGCGCAGACGACUACAGGUCUUCAUUUGUUUUUUGUCUUUUUUAAAACAUGUAUAUUAUCGAUGAUCUACUGUACAUCUGCUAAAUGAAAUGGUUGUCAUAUAUAAUGAUUAACUAAAACUGAAAAUGGAUUUCUCUGUAACCUGUAGAAAAAUCUAAAAUACAAUUGCAAUUGUUAAUUGUUGAUAUGAAUACUAUCACUCCCUCCGGGAAAUAAACGACGCCAUGGUUCUGGAUACUGAUGGAUUUAUUGCCUUUCUCAUUCUUUUCUCCGCUAUCACGUUCACCGUCAAUGAAAUCCACCG